AAGACUAUAGACCUGCGGAGUACCUGCGGAAGGAUCAUUAUUGAUUGGCCGAGAGGCCUUAUCGAAUGUCCCGACACCUCUGUGAACCGUUUUGGCCCUCGGGCCGUUUUUACCUACAAACACUGUGUAAUGAACGUCUUGUUAUCUUAACAGAACAAAACUUUCAACAAUGGAUCUCU
rnacentral:misc_RNA from 1 species